rnacentral:rRNA from 1 species
CUGCCAGUAGUCAUAUGCUUGUCUCAAAGAUUAAGCCAUGCAUGUCUAAGUCCAAGCUGUGUUCACACGGCGAGACCGCGGACGGCUCAUUAAAUCAGUCGUGGUCCAAAUGGGCCAGUGCAAAUCCUACUUGGAUAACUGUGGUAAUUCCAGAGCUAAUACAUGCAACUGAUAUCCCGAAGGCGGUGUUUGGGCUUGCUUGCCUUGCGCUGCGCUGCUCUGACGGAUGCUUUUAUUAGACCAAGCCGCUGAGGACUUGAGGGUUCGCGCUCUCUUGUCUGACUCGUGUGAUGGUGACUCUGGAUAACCAAAUUCUGACAAGCGCACGUACUUCUCUUCUGAGCGAGACGGCGCUGCCACUUUCGAGUGUCUGCCUUAUCAGCUAUCAACCGUUCGUUAUGCGCGACCGAUGGCUUUGACGGGUAACGGGGAAUCAGGGUUCGAUUCCGGAGAGGCAGCCUGAGAGACGGCUACCACGUCCAAGGACGGCAGCAGGCACGCAAAUUACCCAAUCCCAGCAAAUGGGGGAGGUAGUGACGAAAUCUAACGAUGCGGGCGCCCUUUCUGGGGCCCCGCAAUCGGAAUGGGCACUUUCUAAACAACCUGUUGAGAACCUACUGAAGGGCAAGUCUG